rnacentral:lncRNA from 1 species
UUAUCUUGUGCUAAACAUGAAAUAGAAAUCAAAUUUUUAUUAGAUGCAGGUACAUAAUAAGAGUCCCUAAGAAUUAAACUAAAUUCCGACGGCAAUCGUAAAGGAUAUAUCCCCACAGCCAUAGCAGCAACUCUUGCUCUAUUUUCAAUUCGUAGGAUCAUCUCAUCAUCGUUCAACUUUCUACUAUCCUUAAGAUCCUAC